GACGAACGCUGGCGGCGUGCUUAACACAUGCAAGUCGAACGGAAAGGCCCUGCUUUUGUGGGGUGCUCGUGUGGCGAACGGGUGAGUAACACGUGAGUAACCUGCCCUUGACUUUGGGAUAACUUCAGGAAACUGGGGCUAAUACCGGAUAGGAGCUCCUGCUGCAUGGUGGGGGUUGGAAAGUUUCGGCGGUUGGGGAUGGACUCGCGGCUUAUCAGCUUGUUGGUGGGGUAGUGGCUUACCAAGGCUUUGACGGGUAGCCGGCCUGAGAGGGUGACCGGCCACAUUGGGCCUGAGAUACGGCCCAGACUCCUACGGGAGGCAGCAGUGGGGAAUAUUGCACAAUGGGCGGAAGCCUGAUGCAGCAACGCCGCGUGCGGGAUGACGGCCUUCGGGUUGUAAACCGCUUUCGCCUGUGACGAAGCGUGAGUGACGGUAAUGGGUAAAGAAGCACCGGCUAACUACGUG
rnacentral:rRNA from 1 species